AGUGAACGCUGGCGGUAGGCCUAACACAUGCAAGUCGAACGGCAGCACAGUAAGAGCUUGCUCUUACGGGUGGCGAGUGGCGGACGGGUGAGGAAUACAUCGGAAUCUACUUUUUCGUGGGGGAUAACGUAGGGAAACUUACGCUAAUACCGCAUACGACCUACGGUUGAAAGCAGGGGAUCUUCGGACCUUGCGCGAUUGAAUGAGCCGAUGUCGGAUUAGCUAGUUGGCGGGGUAAAGGCCCACCAAGGCGACGAUCCGUAGCUGGUGUGAGAGGAUGAUCAGCCACACUGGAACUGAGACACGGUCCAGACUCCUACGGGAGGCAGCAGUGGGGAAUAUUGGACAAUGGGCGCAAGCCUGAUCCAGCCAUACCGCGUGGGUGAAGAAGGCCUUCGGGUUGUAAAGCCCUUUUGUUGGGAAAGAAAAGCAGCAGGUUAAUACCCCGCUGUUCUGACGGUACCCAAAGAAUAAGCACCGGCUAACUUCGUG
rnacentral:rRNA from 1 species